rnacentral:rRNA from 1 species
GAUGAACGCUAGCUACAGGCUUAACACAUGCAAGUCGAGGGACCGGCGCACGGGUGAGUAACACGUAUCCAACCUGCCCUUUACUCGGGGAUAGCCUUUCGAAAGAAAGAUUAAUACCCGAUAUAAAGGAUGGGGAUGCGUUCCAUUAGGUUGUUGGUGAGGUAACGGCCCACCAAGCCUUCGAUGGAAAGGGGUUCUGAGAGGAAGGUCCCCCACAGUGGAACGGAGACACGGGCCAAACUCCUACGGGAGGAAGCAGUGAGGAAUAGUGGUAAAUGGGCGUUAGCCUGAACCAGCCAAGUAGCGUGAAGGAUGAAGGCUUAUGGGUCGUAAACUUCGUUUAUAUAAGAAUAGGUAUUAUAUGAAUAAGGAGCGGCUAACUCCGUGCCAGCAGCCGCGGUAAUUC